rnacentral:misc_RNA from 1 species
AAGAGUUAAUGCUAUUAUUUUUCUUUCCUGCUUUUGGCUUGUGUCCUUGUAAAGCUUUGAAAACUAAUCCACUCCCACAUCCUAUGUAAAUCCAUAAUUACAUUUGUUGGGGUUGAAAAAGAUGAUAAGGAGUUGUUAGAUACACAGCUGGCAUAAGGUUGUGUAGGUCAGCCACUCUUCAACCGCAAAUACCAUCCGUUCCUCGCCUUUCCCAAUUGCCUCCAAAAACUUUCCUUUCUCUUUUCCAUUCCUCGCUUUUAUCUUUUUAGGGUUAUUGGCUCUUACCUUUUUCAAAUUUCAGAUCUCCCCAUUUUUAAUUUCAGUCUCUUAAUUUAGGGUUCUUGCUUCCUUUCUACAUUAUGUAUUUUCAAUUCUUCUGCUUCAGCUGUCGAUGAUCAAUAAUCGAUAUAGAAUCGAUUUCCAAUAUAAAGAGGCAACCCCAUUGUUCUCAUUGAAUUCAGGCUACUAAUACUUUUACUAGUGGGAGUAAGCCAAGAGAUCGGGUGGUGGAAAUGAGCGCCUCCAGGUUCAUUAAGUGCGUCACCGUCGGCGAUGGCGCUGUCGGCAAGACUUGCAUGCUUAUCUCAUACACCAGCAACACCUUCCCCACGGACUAUGUGCCAACCGUUUUUGACAAUUUCAGUGCAAAUGUGGUUGUGGAUGGGAGCACGGUCAAUUUAGGUUUAUGGGAUACAGCUGGUCAGGAGGAUUACAAUAGAUUAAGACCUUU